GACGUAGGGCGCGAGCGUUGUCCGGAUUUAUUGGGCGUAAAGAGCUCGUAGGCGGCUUGUUGCGUCGACUGUGAAAACCCGCGGCUUAACUGCGAGCUUGCAGUUGAUACGGGCAGGCUAGAGUUCGGUAGGGGAGACUGGAAUUCCUGGUGUAGCGGUGAAAUGCGCAGAUAUCGAGAGGAACACCUGCGGCGAAGGCGGGUUGCUGGGCCGACACUGACGCUGAUGCGCGAAAGCCAGGGGAGCGAACGGG
rnacentral:rRNA from 1 species